rnacentral:rRNA from 1 species
AAUCCAUAGGUUAAUGAGGCGAACCGGGGGAACUGAAACAUCUAAGUACCCCGAGGAAAAGAAAUCAACCGAGAUUCCCCCAGUAGCGGCGAGCGAACGGGGAGGAGCCCAGAGCCUGAAUCAGCAUGUGUGUUAGUGGAAGCGUCUGGAAAGGCGCGCGAUACAGGGUGACAGCCCCGUACACAAAAGCGCAUGUGCUGUGAGCUCGAUGAGUAGGGCGGGACACGUGGUAUCCUGUCUGAAUAUGGGGGGACCAUCCUCCAAGGCUAAAUACUCCUGACUGACCGAUAGUGAACCAGUACCGUGAGGGAAAGGCGAAAAGAACCCCGGCGAGGGGAGUGAAAAAGAACCUGAAACCGUGUACGUACAAGCAGUGGGAGCACCCUUUGGGGUGUGACUGCGUACCUUUUGUAUAAUGGGUCAGCGACUUAUAUUCUGUAGCAAGGUUAACCGUAUAGGGGAGCCGUAGGGAAACCGAGUCUUAACCGGGCGU